rnacentral:rRNA from 1 species
CCUACGGGAGGCAGCAGUGAGGAAUAUUGGUCAAUGGCCGGAAGGCUGAACCAGCCAAGCCGCGUGAAGGAUGAAGGUGCCAAGCAUUGUAAACUUCUUUUGUCAAGGGACAAAAUCAGGCUCGAGAGCCUGACCGAGGGUACUUGAAGAAAAAGCAUCGGCUAACUCCGUGCCAGCAGCCGCGGUAAUACGGGGGAUGCGAGCGUUAUCCGGAUUUAUUGGGUUUAAAGGGUGCGUAGGCGGACUGUUAAGUCAGCGGUAAAAGCCCGGGGCUGAACCCCGGCGAGCAGUUGAAACUGGUUGGCUUGAGAGGUCGAGAGGUAGGCGGAAUGCGCAGUGUAGCGGUGAAAUGCGUAGAGA